CCCUGCUUGCUUUGUUCAUAAGGCUUUCAGUCAUCUCAGAGCAUGGGCAAAGUCCACUCUCAUCUGCUUGCAGACUAGUGGGUAGAAAUACCUUGUGUGACCUUCAAAAGUACUGUUAUUUAUUUUGUUGUUCCCUGAUCCUUCUGUAAAAUGGAGCUAAUGCUUCCUGGAGAGUUUUGUUUAAGGUGGUGUUCAGAUAGUACAGUGAUGAAGCUUGUAAAUGGUUGGGGGUGGGAGCUGAAAUGCGCUGGGCAAAAUUUUAGCCGAGCAUGUGUACCUAAACCCUUCUGAGAUUUCUGAUACUGUUGACCCCUGCAGGAGAGGGAGCAAUGCACUGUGGACUUCAGUGACAUCUAUCCACAUGGUUUUCAUGGACCGGAACCUGUUCUGCAAAAUCCUUCUAGGCUAAAUCCCAGCUUGGUUUAGCUUAGAGAUGUUCCCUGUGUUGAGGAAAAUGUAGGUAUUGUUGGUAGUCAAAGGCAAUACAGAAUUGCUCAACAAAAUUGUUGUGAGAGGCAGUCCUUGAAGUAUCCUUCAGCUAGAUCCAACUACUGGCUGAUAGGCUGAAUCUGAUCUUCUGGAUACUUCUGAGCUGCUGCAUUUUGCCUUUUUGGGAAGGGGAAUGGUGCUGCAGGUGAGAUCUGACUAGCAAAUUCUGCCCAGCUGCCAAAUACCAUCUGCUCCCAGCUUCUGUGCAACAACUGCCACCCGCUCUCCAGCAGGGCAACGGGAGCCUGUCUCGGUAUUUGAGUCAGCAACAGCUGUUUGUUGCUUUCUCAGCUUCUGCAGGAGAAGUAACAGCCCGCUCCUCUGUGUCACACGCAGCAGUUGUCCUGUCCAGCUUCCCUGCGUAACAACUGCCUGGAUCUCUGCGGCAGGUGUGGGAGGGAGCGUUUUAACGGCAACUGCUGCCAGAUGGGGAAGUCAGCUGCUUUCCUGUGAUGUGGAGGUAGGCUGAAGCCUUUGCUAUUGGGCUGGGGGUCACAGAGGGUCUCAAACCCCAAAUCCAGCUGUUACGGCUGCCACGGUCAGACCACCCUGCGAGUCAUUUAGAAGAGCAAGUCUACCAUCCUGCACUACAGCUCUCUGGAAGCACCUCCUAGGUUCAUCUUGAAUGUCUUGAAUUCUGUCUGCCCUGCAGCUCUUCUUCUAUGGAAUUAUUUCCUCAAUAGCUAAUUACUGUUUCUGUAUAACAGUGAUAAAGGUUACUGUGUCAAUUAAAUAAAAAGACCUCUAAUGGAUAGAUGUAAGACUUUCCAAGGGUAAGCUCCCCAACAGUAUCUGACUAGGGUGUUGGUUAAUCUGUAAAGCUAUGAAAAAAAAAAUUGAAGAGCUCUGAAAUCUCACUGUAUGCAAAUCUAAAUCUGGAUGAUGUGUACACUUAGCUGGCCUGAAAAAGCAGGAAGCUAGGAAAAUUAUUUUAACAUUCCGUAAUUUUAUCUUUGGAAUCUGAUCUUAUGCAGUCAGUUCAGUCCAAGAGUUCACUCAUCCUCGCAUUCAUUUUCCUCUUGUGUGGUCUGAAAAACGCAGAAGAGACUGUACAGUCUUUAGAGAAAGUGCUGUUGCUGCUGUGAAGUGCAAAACAUUAUCUUGUAUUUAGAGAAAAUCCAGAGAGAAGUAAGAAAAGGAACUCCUACCUUUUCUUGCCCUUUGUCCUUCAAAAAAUUCUUUGGUUUCUUUUUGAUGUGUGAAGGUGAUUUGCAAACCAGUAAGCCUUUAAGGUUUUGCCUUUACUGUGGUGAUUUGUUUGUUUAAGUGUGAUGACUGAGAUGAAUGUGAUGUGCUGGUUAUUGCUUAAAUCAAGAGUUAGGAGUGUACUAGAAAGAAUUUUCUUCUAAAAUAUUUAAGGCCUUCUAGUAAAUAGGUAAAUCACUCAACUCUGCAAUUCAAAAAAGCCUUCUCAGUUAGUAUCACCUUACUUGCUUAGUGAAAAAGAUGUGUCUGUUUCUUCAGAGCUCAUCUACUUUCCUAUAUUUUGAAGGAUUUUUCUGUUUCUGCAAAAUGAAAAUUUUUUCAGGUGUUGGGGAGGUUAUUUCUUGCCUGGGUACAAUGGAAGACAUAAAAAUGAGCAAAAUACCAUGCUUUCAUAUAUCUUUCAUGUAUCUUAAAGAAGCAGCCCCCCUGGUUUUCAGUAUGCCUUCCUAAAGAAGCAAAGUAUAUAUGAUUAUGGUGCCCCUUUCUGCUCACCGAUGGCUUUUGAACUGGUGGACUCAUACCAACUACAUUCUAAAUUGUACGAAAGUAGAGCCAGGUAACGUGGAAAGAAGUCCAUUAAGAAAGAAGCCCUUAUAAGUAUUCCAGCCAUAGGAAAAGCUUAAAUCAGUUGCAAUUAGGGGUGAGACACAAACCCCUCGCAAACCAGGCUUUAUUAGUUUUGUUGCUCAUAGAACCUACUUGUUUCCCAUGUGGGUUUCCCUAGAGAAAAUGGGGGCCUGAGUAGACCAGGUGGCUGUGCAACUACUGUACUGCUCCAGAAGUCUUUGACAGACCUGGAGCUAAAUGCUUACUUUCUUGGAGGAAGUAAACGAGGUGCAAACUA